rnacentral:rRNA from 1 species
GUAGUGAAUAUUGGGCAAUGGUCGGAAGACUGACCCAGCCAUGCCGCGUGCAGGAAGACGGCCCUCUGGGUUGUAAACUGCUUUUAUCUGGGAAGAAAAAGGCCAUGCGUGGCAAAUUGCCGGUACCAGAUGAAUAAGCACCGGCUAACUCCGUGCCAGCAGCCGCGGUAAUACGGAGGGUGCGAGCGUUGUCCGGAUUUAUUGGGUUUAAAGGGUGCGUAGGCGGCUGAUUAAGUCAGCGGUGAAAGACUUCGGCUUAACCGGAGCAGUGCCGUUGAUACUGGUUGGCUUGAGUGUCGGAGGGGUACAUGGAAUUGAUGGUGUAGCGGUGAAAUGCAUAGAUACCAUCAGGAACACCGAUAGCGAAGGCAUUGUACUGGCCGACAACUGACGCUGAUGCACGAAAGUGUGGGGAUCGAACAGGAUUAGAUACCCGAGUAGUCC